AGCGAACGCUGGCGGCAGGCCUAACACAUGCAAGUCGAACGGAUCCUUCGGGAUUAGUGGCGGACGGGUGAGUAACACGUGGGAACGUGCCCUUUGGUUCGGAACAACUCAGGGAAACUUGAGCUAAUACCGGAUGUGCCCUUCGGGGGAAAGAUUUAUCGCCAUUGGAGCGGCCCGCGUCUGAUUAGCUAGUUGGUGAGGUAAAGGAUCACCAAGGCGACGACCAGUAGGUGGUCUGAGAGGAUGAUCAGCCACAUUGGGACUGAGACACGGCCCAAACUCCUACGGGAGGCAGCAGUGGGGAAUCUUGCGCAAUGGGCGAAAGCCUGACGCAGCCAUGCCGCGUGAAUGAUGAAGGUCUUAGGAUUGUAAAAUUCUUUCACCGGGGACGAUAAUGACGGUACCCGGAGAAGAAGCCCCGGCUAACUUCGUGCCAGCCGCCGCAGUAACAC
rnacentral:rRNA from 1 species